rnacentral:tRNA from 1 species
GGGGCUAUGGCGCAGCCGGUAGCGCACCUGCUUUGCAAGCAGGGGGUCGUGGGUUCGAGUCCCACUAGCUCCACCA